AAAAAACACGGUGUGCGUGCGCUUUUCCUACCUCAGCUGCUGCUGCUCCUCGCCGUCCAUCACGUUUUAUUUCGUUGAGUUUCGAACGUUUGGCAGGUUCCAAUUAAUUUAUUUUAAAAUAUAAAAAUUUACGACGAUCUGAGCCAUGGAAAUCAUGGAAAUCGCCGCGUUGACCGCGCCUCCGCCUUCUCUGCGCGACAACGUGAUCAUCGACCGAUACGAGUUCUCUUGGACCGUGGAUAAGCGCACGUUGAUGACCGCCAGUGAACAGUCGGACUUGGCGACAUGCCAACUUUUCUUCCGGGCUGGGCGUAAUCGGACAAUAAACAAGAUGUCCAAAUGGCGGAUAUUCUUCAGUGUGAAUCCCACUCGGCCCAAUUUUGGUCAAGGAAGGGUCAACUUGUGCUUCGCAUUGGUCCAGCACGACGGAUCUCCUCUUGGUCUCGCCGGCGUCGAGGUGUCCCUUCAGGCAAAGAAUUACGACAAGGGCUGGGAGUAGCGAUUUCCGAGAUUCCGGUUCACCUCUGCGUGUAAAGAUAAUCCAGUGAUUGGUACUUUCCAACGUUACCUAAAACAAGCACCGGGCUCCUACUCGACCGCGACCCGGCUUUAAUCCAACGCACUUCCGGCGGAUUACGUUAUCUACCAAAUCCCCGACCGAUCCAUCACCGUGAAACUGGUGUUCACGUUGUAUGAUCCGUUGAAAUUCGUCACUCCGGGCGUGGCAAGUUGGAAGUCGUCCCACAAGACGGAAUCUCUCGCUAUGUUGGAGGGCGAUAUCGGUACGGAUGUCAGGUUUCGGACGAAGGAGGGCACCAUCGUGAAGGCGCACAGGGUCAUGUUGUCCGGCCACAGCGCCGUCUUCAAGGCCAUCUGCGCCGUCAAGAUCCAGCCCAACGAGGUCGAAGUGAUCCAAGCAGAUGACAUGGGGGCUGUCGGAUUAGUGUGAAGUUGGCCUCUCCUUUUUUUUUUUUGUUUGGAUGAAGUUAGCCGACUAAGCCGAAUUUAUCCGAAAACUUGGCCUUACCGCCCAUAAAUCCCGCCAAUUUGGGGCAACGUGAGAUUCGCUCCCCAUAGCUCCAGAACUGUUGAAAUUCAAACUUGUUGCCUUCCCGCCCCAUUUUAAGGGGUAAUUUGAGAUUCGGUCUCAUUUGGCUAUUAUCGAGCCAAUUAAGUGUUAUGAACACGUAAUCAAUACUUUCUCGGUUCUAGAACACGAUAUUCAACUAGUGAAGCCAGGACGAAACCACAGCUCAAUAUGCACAUACGCACGUGCAUAUACAAAUGUAAUUAUUACUAUUAUUUCAACUUUGCCUAGUAUUUACAUACACACUACUUUUGUCAUACAAGAACUGCACUCACACCAAUACUAAAGCAACAAGCAAGCUGCCAGUUUAUUAAAAAAUUAAACUAAAUUUUUGAUUUAAUCAACGUAGCAACCCUAUGGUUUAAGCAUACAAAAUCGAAUGAAAUACUCAAUUUUUAACGAAAACACAUGACUUGUAUCAUAAGAAAACCGUAUUUCGGAUUUUGAUUGCACGAAAAUGGGAAAGGGUUUUGGGCUCGGAAUACCCUUAUUUUGUAGCCAUGACCCUGUGCUACCCAACGUAUACUGCGGUUACUCAUGCACCACUCAGAUAAGAACGAAAAAUUCGGGUAAACUCCGACUUUUCCAUAAGUUGCAAAAACAAGAAACCCAAAUUUCGGAUUUUAAUUGCUCGAAAACGGGCAAGGCUUUUGGCUCGGAAUACCCUUAUUUUGUAGGCAUGACCCUGUGCUACCCAACGUAUACCGCGGUUACUCAUGCACCACUCAGAUAAGAACGAAAAAUUCGGGUAAAC